rnacentral:rRNA from 1 species
GAGGUAGAGCACUGGAUGGGCUAGGGGUCUUACCAGAUUACCAAACCCAACCAAACUCCUAAUGCCUCGACAUUUACUCCGGGAGUCAGGCUGUGGGAGCUAAGUUCCAUGGCCAAAAGGGGAAAGAGCCCAGACCGCCAGCUAAGGUCCCUAAGUCGUUGCUAAGUGGUAAAGGAUGUGGAAGCACACAGACAACCAGGAGGUUGGCUUAGAAGCAGCCAUCCUUUAAAGAAAGCGUAAUAGCUCACUGGUCAAGUGAGUCCGCGCCGAAAAUUUAACGGGGCUAAAGUAACGCACCGAAGCUGCGGGUUGAUUUUAUCAGCGGUAGGCGAGCAUUGUCACAACUGUGAAGCCAGACGGUAACGACUGGUGGAGUGGUGACAAGAGCGAAUGCAGGCUUGAGUAGCGAUAAACCGAGCGAGAAACUCGGUCGCCGUAAGCCCAAGGGUUCCUGGGGUCAAAGUUAAUCUUCCAGGGUUAGUCGGUUCCUAAGCCGAGGCCGAAAGGCGUAGGUAAUGGAAAGCAGGUU